CUCCCUGAACCUUUUCCAGGCUACACAUUCCCAGUUCCUUCAGCCAUUCCUUAUACAAAAAGGACUGAAUUUGGAUGUAUAGAAGGAGGAUAACUGAAAUUAUAGUCCAAUUUUUAAAAAGAACCAGAGAGACACACUGAAGUGAUACUGAAGAUCAAUAAGGACAGGCGGGGAUAAACAUGGAUGUAGAAAGCCACUCAAGGAUGCUUCAUGCAAGUAGAGCACUUUAUGCAACAACGUACAGACAUCCAGAAGUUCAAAUUAGAGGAACCUUUAUUGAUUGGCCAGGGUGCCCUCCUAAGUGAGAGUUGCCCCAAACAGUGGAUACCAGAAAUCCAUGGAAGAAAACCAAAGUCAUCCAGCAUUACCAAAGAAAGUCAGCCCAGAGAAAAGAGAAAGUAGAUGUUUGUCUAGCACCAACCACAGCACAACACAGAGGCCAGACACCAGAAAAAACAGCAUAUGAACAAACAAGGCAAAGCCAUUGACUUGGGGACAGGUCUAAUGAACUAUCCACAUAGAUGAACUUUUACUGAGAGGCAAUUUACCUACAGAAGAAUAUUAUUAAUUUGCUUGCAGACAUUCUAUUCUAAAAGUAUGAAUAUUUGUUGCAAGAUUAAUUCUUAUCAUGUACCUGAAGACUUUAAAUGAUAUUUGUACAAUAUGUAACUUGCAAUUAUUUUAUUGGAAUUGUUCCAUGUUACCCAAAUUUGAUCAAAAAACAAAUUGAACAAUUGGAAAUGUUAUAAUAGUACAUUGGAUACUGUUCAAUCACAACAGAAAUUGUUUAUAUUAUCCAAAAUGUACGUAUGAUAAUUAUCUUACCUGAUUCAUUUUAUAUAUGCAAAAAAAGAAUGUCUUUAUUGGAAUCACAUUUGUUUAAAAGUCAAAUUAGCUGGAAAUUGCAUUUAAGUUUUAAAUGAAAAAAGGAAUGUAAUGGUACUCCUAAACAUCAAUCACUUCUCCAUCCCAGAAGGGCUAUAGGCUACUCCUAUGCAAUAACAUUUGGAGUAUAAUGAUAAGGAUUAAACUGCCUUGACAACAGCAACAACAUCAAUGACAAAUUGUGCUUAAAUCAGAUAGAAUAUACUUUGCGAUUUUUAAUUGAGAGCCUAAAUUACUUAAAGUGCCAUCUACAUCUAUGUAUAGAUUCUAUUCAUGAACAAUAUCUAUUUAGCUAUUAUGUACCAACCACCAUUGAUGUAGUUACAUGUUAAUCUUAUAGACAUGGGCAUCUACUCCAAAUGUCCAUUUUGUUCACAAAGCAUUUACUAUCAUUAUGCAUCCCUCCAAAUGCUUCAUAUUGACAAUCAUAGGAGCCAUAGUUUAAAUUAUUGCUAUAAUUACAGCAACAAUUGUGUUCACUAACUAUACAAAACCAAGGUUUUAUACAAAAGGUUGUAUCUAAUUCAUCUGAACUUUGACACACACAACAAAGUCUUGACCUUGCUUUUAAGGAUGAAUUAGAAAUUUUGAAAGAUGCUGUAUUUUGGCUAAGAAAAGAGGUUGAAGCUUUGCACAUUAGAAUUACUUACCCAUGUCAUUUCAACCAAACAGGAUAUUGUAUUAAACCUUUAAAAACAUAAUGAUGUUUAAUAUGAAUUUUACAUAUUACAUAAAUUUUUUAAUUUAAUUUUGCUAUUUGAUUUAGCAUUCAUUUUUACUUGUUAUUUUGCUAUAAUUAUUAUUUUUUUAGUUUAUAAUUUCUUUUUACCAUCAAACACUCUUGUUUUAAUUUUUAAACACAAAGAGGGAUAUGUAGCAUACCAGGCAUAUUAGCAUCUUGAAAGUAUGAUUGGUGUAUUGAUACUGUAUCUUAUGUGUUCUUAUACUAGAGUCAUGGUCAUGUUACUUAUUGAUUAUUUUAUUGCCAAAUCUUCAGUCCAAAGGUGAAAAAAGAAUUCCUGAGCAGGAGCCACAGGGUACUAGCUCACACCUUGUUAGAUAACACAUUCCUUUCCAAGUCACAUGUUUGAUUAACCUCCUCCUCUUUGAUUACAUGAUUGUCAAUUGAGCCAAUGUUAAAGUCUAUGCCAUGUCACAUGUUCAUUAGUUACCUACCACUACACAUUCAUAAACUCUCCAAUAAAAGUUUGAGGGCACGUGUGGAGCA
rnacentral:lncRNA from 1 species